ensembl:lncRNA
AAAAAGCAGAACUGUUUUCCCUCAUUUCAAAAGAUAGUUCUUCAAUUUAGGAUAAACCUGCAGACGUCUGUCGAUUCAGCUGUUGAAAUAUAUCAUCAAAAGAUCACUGUUCUUGAGUAGAUCAGAAAUCAUCAGAAUACAGAAAAUGCCAAUUCCAUACGAAAGUUUGCAUGGCAGCCAAUGCUCUCCAAGGAAGGUAAGAAAGUCACCCUUUAAUCCCAAUUAUAGCUGUUUUCUGGCGGGAACACCUAAUGUUCAUGCAGUUGCUUCUGUGUCUAGCGUGCAGGUGUUGUGACCAUCGUUUUUGCAAUCGGAGCUCUGACUGUACUGGGUGACAUACUAGCCGUGACUGUGUUGGAACGGCCCCAACCUGCUCACAACGGGACACUUCCUGCGAAUAACGUGUCUGCUGAGAAUGCUUCGACUGACCAAUGCAGGUUAGCAACUUCUGAUAACG